GGGACAGUCAAACUCAUAAAUCUAAAACAAACUGACAACGCCAUGGCUAAAAAUGAAAAAGACAAACAGAAAAACAAUAGAACACAUGACACAACAUAGAAAACUAAAGAAUAAACAACACGAACCCCACCAAAAACUAGGGGUGAUCUCAGGUGCUCCGGAAGGGUAAGCAGAUCCUGCUCCACAUAUGGCACCCGUCGUGUUGCUUAUGUGAUUACAAAUCCGGUAAAUAGUCUAAUUCAAUA
rnacentral:lncRNA from 1 species